GCCUGCUUGCAUUUACCCUAUCUAUACCCCUCAUAAUUUUGCAUACCCCUGGAUCAAGAUGGCUUGCUUCAUCUGCACACUUAUGGAAAGCAUCAAAAUAACAGGGAUGUUUGACGAUACUCGGGGACUUUGUUUCCUGGGAAGGACUCUCCUGUCAGCUGCUAAAGUCACAGCGAAACUUCCGAUCACACUACUGCCGAACCUCGGCCGGUGUGCGGGGACUUACAAGGGUUCUUUUGAAGACCCUGACCUGACUGGUUCUUUGUGAGAAUGGGACCCGCUCUCGGGGUUCCAUAAAUGGCUAUUGUUCGGCACACCAAAGGCUCGGCCUAAGAGUCCGGCUUGGAUUUGGAAGCCUAGGAUCUCGGGGCUCUGGAGAUGGGUGGAUCGAGAGUCAGUGUCACGACAGGAGACCCGUGUGUCGUCAGGAGGUGACUGAAAGUGAUUGAUAAAGCUGGAGCUAUGGAGGUUGGUAACGAAGAUUCUCAUAAGGCAUUUGACAAGGUUUCGCUUGGGACACUUACCAGAAGAUUAAGAUGCUGGGAUCUACAGUG